GCACCAUAGCUCAGCCACAAAGAUAAGCCUCUACCACAAGUUUCACAUCCCUCUGUCAGUGUACAGAGGCACCAGGACCUCGAAACAGCUCAGUGCUGUCCCAAACUCGAGACUACGGCGUUCAUGCGACGUGGCAGCUCCUGAGACGUAUGGAAACUGUCAUGGGCAGAGAUGAAGGCCCUUGCCAGUAGACCUUUCCAUGUCUAAUGUAAUGUUACCCCAGCAUCCAUCCCUAAGGAAUGAAGUUUCCCUGCAAGCGUUUUUCGAGAGACUUAUGAUCAACUAAAUUUUCUUUGCUGAGCAGCAAUUCCUGGAAAAUCCUGCAACGUAUUCAAAGACUUUCCUACUGCUUUUGGAGAAUUAGCUCUGGGCAAAAUGAUAUAGUCUAUUGAAGCCAUAUCUGACCCAGAAAGUAUUAACUGAAGAAUGUGCAGGACAGCUGCUUAUCGGAAAGAAAAGACAUGCAGUGCAGGAGAAUGACAUGUAGAGCUACUUGAGUUAGUUCUGAAUGACUGUCAGCUCUCCAGAGCCAGCCAAGCCCGGGAAGCAGAUAGGAUAUUCUGCCAGAGCCUGUGCACAUCCGUAAUGGAGCAGGCUCGGGUAUCUCCAGCACAGGACUGCACCAUGCGGCGAGGAGAUAGUUUAUCAUCUGAGAGCAUUUCAGAUACAUGAUCUGAUAAGGCUGAACAGAAAUCUGAAGUAUAGCAGGAUUAUUUCCAAAAAAAGUGUCAAAGGGCUCAACGUUUCUGUGGAGGACUUUCUGUGAGCAGGU